UCUCAGUUCGGAUUGAGGCUGAAACCCGCCUCCAUGAAGUUGGAUUCGCUAGUAAUCGCGCAUCAGCCAUGGCGCGGUGAAUACGUUCCCGGGCCUUGUACACACCGCCCGUCAAGCCAUGGGAGCCGGGGGUGCCUGAAGUUCGUGACCGCAAGGAGCGACCUAGGGCAAAACUGGUGACUGGGGCUAAGUCGUAACAAGGUAUC
rnacentral:rRNA from 1 species